rnacentral:sRNA from 1 species
GCACACGAUUCUUACAGACUUCGGUUACACCAUCAAAGCUUUGAGAAGCAAGAAGAAGCUUGGUUAGUGUUUUGGAGUCGAAUAUGACAAGAUGUCAUGUGUAUGAUUGAGU